GGGGAUCUAGCUCAUCUGGAAGAGCGUCGGCGUUGCAUACCGAAGGCGGUCGGUUCGAGUCCGACGAUCUCCA
rnacentral:tRNA from 1 species